CGGGUGAGUAACGCGUGGAUAAUCUACCCUUAAGAUGGGGAUAACGGCUGGAAACGGUCGCUAAUACCGAAUACGCUCCCGAUUUUAUCAUUGGGGGGAAAGAUGGCCUCUGCUUGCAAGCUAUCGCUUAAGGAUGAGUCCGCGUCCCAUUAGCUAGUUGGCGGGGUAACGGCCCACCAAGGCAACGAUGGGUAGCCGGUCUGAGAGGAUGACCGGCCACACUGGAACUGGAACACGGUCCAG
rnacentral:rRNA from 1 species